rnacentral:lncRNA from 1 species
GAGAGAGAAGAGAAUAGAGUCCUGUCUGCAGAGAGAAGCAGACAGGAUACGCGGGGCUGGAGAUGCCUUCGGAAGUGGCCGAGAUGGGACUGUUGCAGGAGAGGGAAGAUGAGGGCCUUGAGGAAUCGAACCUGCACUCCCUCAUUCUGGAUGUUCCCAAAGCACAGCAGAGGCCCUGGCUUGAUGUUGGCCUCCUUUCUGGCUGGUAAAUUGACGUGGCCCCAGGACAGAUGUUUUUCAGACUCUGAAUUCCAGCAACCAGUUUGGAGACCCCAACAGAGGAACAGGAUCAGCCUGAGAAUACAGCUUCUUCGUCUUCCUGUCCCUGCACUCUUUGACCCUGCACUCUUUGACCAAUCAAUGAUUUGCAUACUUUGGCCCACUCCAAAACCCUUAAAAACUCUAAACCCAACUUUGUUGAGGAGAUGGAUUUGAGGUCUCCUCCCAUAACCUCGUUAGGUGACUGUAUGAUUAAACUCCUUUCUCUGCUGCAACGUGGUUUUUUGGCAUGUUGACUUGCUGUGUGCAUUGGGAAACAGACCUAUUAGGGCUACACCAGGGACCCUCCUGCUACCACUCAGCAGGUUUAGGGGCAAGAGUAGAUACUUAAAGAACGAAGAGUCAGAUUCUUGGCCCCUGUCU